rnacentral:rRNA from 1 species
AUACGGAGGAUGCGAGCGUUAUCCGGAUUUAUUGGGUUUAAAGGGAGCGUAGGCGGGAGCUUAAGUCAGCGGUUAAAUGGUGCGGCUCAACCGUGCCCUGCCGUUGAAACUGGGUUUCUUGAGAGUGCAAGAGGCGGAUGGAAUUCAUGGUGUAGCGGGGGAAUGCUUAGAUAUCAUGAAGAACUCCGAUUGCGAAGGCAGUCCGCUGGGGCACGUCUGACGCUGAUGCUCGAAGGUGCGGGAAUCAAACAGGAUUAGAUACCCUGGUAGUCCGCACGGUAAACGAUGAUUACCCGCUGUCGGCGGUAGACAGUCGGCGGCCAAGCGAAAGCGAUAAGUAAUCCACCUGGGGAGUACGCCGGCAACGGUGAAACUCAAAUGAAUUGGCGGGG